rnacentral:tRNA from 1 species
CCUUCGAUAGCUCAGCUGGUAGAGCGGAGGACUGUAGAGGCACCCGCGCCGAUAUCCUUAGGUCGCUGGUUCGAUUCCGGCUCGAAGGA